AUGUAUAAGCUCGAUCCAUGCAUAUACACCUACACACACUCGCGCAUACAUAUAAACUCGCUGCAUACCAAAUCCUACGCGGCGCCUCAUACACCUAUCAAAAAGAAACAGCACAAUCUUUUUUCCCACUCCUUGCCCUGCCUUCUGAAACUCCUCAAUUUUCACAAGGCUCAUCACUCUGAAAAGCGAGGUGUGCUCUGAUUGGCCAGCUAUCCAGUGCGUUGUGAUUGGCCGAAUGCAUCAAGUGUGUGACAGAUAUGUUACGCCCCUUAACAUAUUGUGAUGCCCUGUCCGGCCGGAGCGACGAGACAUAAACAUAAAACCCAUUAUAAACGUGAUAUAAACAUGAUUUCUAGUCGUGUUUUCUUUUGGAAGGCAAAAAUGAAGUAAUUUCGCUUUCUCAACGAAACAGUGUCACACACCGGAGGCCUAGAGUGAGGCGCGGCCGGCUUGAGUGAGCAGAGGCGGGGGUGGGCUUGAGAAUGACGUGCCGGUGGAUUCGACGAAAGAGCUUGCGGCAACCACAUGUGAUGACCCCGGGCUGGACUCCGCUUCAUCCAGGGAGAAAGCCGAUUCUGCGAUCCACAGUGCAAAGUUGAUGUAUUUCCUCAGUGACCAGCAUGACGAAGCGGAUAUCGUCCUCUUUUGGAAGGCCAAACAAAGUAGUUUUGCUUUCACAGUGAAACACACAGCGUCUAUACGACAUGGCUGCCGCGGCAACAACAAUACUACAACGAGAAUAAAAGUUACACCGCCUUUCUUUGCGUGAACAUCUGGGCAGCAUUAUGCAAAUCUUCCCACAUAGUGACGUAGAGAUGUGGGGGCGUGUUAGAACAAGCCGGUUUAUGGGGGUGUGGACGAGUAUUAACUUUGAUAAGGAAUAUCUCUUUGGAUUUGAGACUUUAUUCUUUGCAACUUUACAGAUCUUCUUUAUGCACCUAGAUCUUGUAACACUCCAAAGAGAAAGGAAAAAUUGAAAUCGCAUCAUAUGACCCCUUUAACUCAAUUUUGACCAGAUGUGUAGUUACUGCGCUUUGCCUUUGGAUGGCAGCAUAGUCCAGUGUUUCCAAUGCGGCAUAUAUAUGCAAACUCAUUCUCUGCCAGCAGGAGGCGCUGUUGGAGUGGGCGAGAUCAAGGUUUCCCUGGUAACGGCUUUACACAAAGCAGUGCUCCUUAUCAAACAUUACAUGCAAGAUUAAAUUAAAAUGACAUCCAUUGUUCUGAAGACAGUCGGUUUACAAAUGAUGAGUAGUUUAUACUUUAGAUUAGGGGAUGCAGAAAGCUUUGUAAAUGAUUUAUUCAUGCGUUUACACAACAGGUUUUGAAUACUUUGUAGUGUGUACUGCAUUGUAAGGGCUGACUGGUGAGGGUGUAGACAGAUGUCUUCUCUGACACACAUGGACUAUUUUAA
ensembl:lncRNA